GAUGGCACAACAUCAAAUGCAAACUUACCUGCAAUCAUCCUACUGCAUGAACCACAUGUUGCAACAGUCCUAAGCAAUGAUAUGCCAUUAUGUAGCAUGAAGAAGAGCAGAGGUUGUAUAUUUGCUACAAAAGCUGAUCAGAGCUUGUGGUCCUGUGCAGUAUACAACACAUAGAUAAGGAACAUGGUAGCAUGGCAGAGUUUGUGCAUGGCUCAGAUCUGAAAGUAUCUUUUCAAAAUGGCAAGUGAAGUGGUUUAUGCAGAAGUAUCACCCAAGGAAAGAGUGCAUUUUACUUCACUGACUUCAGAUACAGGUGAUCCAGUCACCUAUGCCGAGGUGAAUGUGGAAUGGCCGUCUGACAGACUUGACAGCACACCCAAGACAACACAUACAGGUACU